rnacentral:rRNA from 1 species
AGCAACUUGGGGGAAUGUUUUUUAGUAAUAAAUAAAAGGGCUCAAACCCGUCUCCUUUUAUUUUUACUAAUUAUUCAAAUUUUGAAUAUAGUUCUAGAUAAAAUAUUGAUAAUGACAAAGUUUUAUCUACAUGUCUUGACCAAAUCUUGUGCCAGCAGUCGCGGCAACACAAGGAAGACUAGUGUUAUUCAUCUUGAAUCGGUUUAACGGGUACCUAGACGGUAAAUUAGGCCUUAAUUGGAACAUUUUUACUAGAGUUAUAUAUGCAUAAGGAAUAUGAAGUAUUACCAGAGUAAAGAUAGAAUUUUUUGAUACUGUUAAGACUGGUAAAGGCAAAAGCAAACCUUUAUAUAUUAACUGACGUUGAGGGACGAAGGCUUGGGUCGCAAACAGGAUUAGAUACCCUAAUAGUCCAGGCAGAGAAUUAUGAAUGUCAUAGGUUAUAUU